rnacentral:sRNA from 2 species
GCUAACCCAAGCAACGCAAUCCCUACCUGCUAUUGCGUCCUUGCGGCCCUAUAGCCGCGCCAGCGUGAAUGAGUGUCCUCCGCAUCAU